rnacentral:rRNA from 1 species
GAUGAACGCUGGCGGCGUGCCUAAUACAUGCAAGUCGAGCGAACAGACGAGGAGCUUGCUCCUCUGACGUUAGCGGCGGACGGGUGAGUAACACGUGGAUAACCUACCUAUAAGACUGGGAUAACCUCGGGAAACCGGAGCUAAUACCGGAUAAUAUAUUGAACCGCAUGGUUCAAUAGUGAAAGACGGUUUUGCUGUCACUUAUAGAUGGAUCCGCGCCGCAUUAGCUAGUUGGUAAGGUAACGGCUUACCAAGGCAACGAUGCGUAGCCGACCUGAGAGGGCGAUCGGCCACACUGGAACUGAGACACGGUCCAGACUCCUACGGGAGGCAGCAGUAGGGAAUCUUCCGCAAUGGGCGAAAGCCUGACGGAGCAACGCCGCGUGAGUGAUGAAGGUCUUCGGAUCGUAAAACUCUGUUAUUAGGGAAGAACAAAUGUGUAAGUAACUAUGCACGUCUUGACGGUACCUAAUCAGAAAGCCACGGCUAACUACGUG